rnacentral:rRNA from 1 species
UACAGAGACUGCAAGCGUUAUUCGGAUUCACUGGGCGUAAAGGGUGCGCAGGCGGUUGGGUGUGUCAGAUGUGAAAUCCCGAGGCUCAACCUCGGAACUGCGUCUGAAACUACUCGACUAGAGUACUGGAGAGGGUAACAGAAUUCACGGUGUAGCAGUGAAAUGCGUAGAUAUCGUGAGGAACACCAGAGGCGAAGGCGGUUACCUGGACAGUUACUGACGCUCAGGCACGAAAGCAUGGGGAGCAAAAGGG